rnacentral:rRNA from 1 species
CGAGCGCACCCUUCGGGGCGAGCGGCGGACGGGUUAGUAACGCGUGGGAACGUACCCUUUUCUACGGAAUAGCCUCGGGAAACUGAGAGUAAUACCGUAUACGCCCUUCGGGGGAAAGAUUUAUCGGAGAAGGAUCGGCCCGCGUUAGAUUAGAUAGUUGGUGGGGUAAUGGCCUACCAAGUCUACGAUCUAUAGCUGGUUUUAGAGGAUGAUCAGCAACACUGGGACUGAGACACGGCCCAG